UAAUUUUGUCAAUCGUUCCUGAAUGAUUGCCAACCUGCCAUUUUCAAAAGACAGCUUCUCUAAUUUUCCCCCGAUCUGUUUCAAGAAAAUAUUAUCCACCCGAUAUUUCGGUGCUGAGAUGCCCGUAGUGUUCGUGCCUAGCGAAACAAUAAGCUAGGGCAGCCUGGUUUCGACUGGGCUGACGGCAGGGAACGAGCCUAAGUCUUCGGAUAUGGCUCUAUUACCUUGAAAGUGCCACAGUGACGUAGCCUUGGAAGAAAUGACAAGGGUGGAACGAGGUAAACCCCGCGAGCGAGAAACCCAAAUAAUGGUAGGGGAACUUUCUCUGAGGAAUUCAACUCAAGAGAGAGGCAAGAGACAAGCUCUUGCAGAUAGAUGAUUACCACCGGAGUACGAGAUUUUUCAAUCGUAAGCAGUACGAUGGUACAGAACAUGGCUUACAGAA
rnacentral:RNase_P_RNA from 1 species